GCCUGGGUGGCUCAGUGGGUUGAGCGUCUGACUUCAGCUCAGGUCAUGAUCUCAUGGUUCAUGAGUUCCAGCCUCACCACGGGCU
rnacentral:tRNA from 1 species